rfam:Picea glauca, whole genome shotgun sequence.
GGGAAUGUAGCUCAAGUAGAGCUCCUACCUUUUGGUAAGUGAUAUGGGUUCAAAUCCUAACAUUCCUU